AUGGACGGCCGGGCUCAGCCGCAGCAGCAGCAGACGCCGCUGCCGCUGCCGCUGCCGCCGCCGCCGCAGCAGACGACGCCACCGCCGACGCCGCAGACGCAGACGCCGCGCGUGAGCUCGCCGCCGCCGGUGGCCCCCGGCGUCAUGAUGCCGCAGCACGCCUACGGCGCGAUGCCGCCGGGCUCCGCGAGCGUCAUGCACGGGAUGCCGCUCGCCUUCAACCCCAUGGCGUCGCCCGGGGCCUCGCAGGCGGCAUUGAAGCCCGCGGACAUGCCGCCGCUCGCCAUGUACCGGCCCGAUUCCACCCCGCCGGGCAUGCCGCAGUCCGUCGGCGGCGGCGGUGGCGCCCUGGUGGUCAGCGUCAGCGGCAGCGGCAGCGGCGGGGAGCUCGUGAAGAAGAAGAGGGGAAGGCCGAGGAAGUACGGGCCGGACGGGACCAUGGGCUCGGCGGUGAAGGCCGAGGCGGGCGGGCAGUCUGGUGGCGCGGGCUCCAACUCGAAUCCUGACGGGAAGCGCAGAGGACGGCCCCCGGGAUCUGGCAAAAAGAAACAGCUCGAUGCCUUAGGUUCAGCUGGGACAUCAUUUACUCCUCACAUAAUAACUGUCAAGCCUAAUGAGGAUGUUGCUUCGAAAAUAAUGUCUUUUUCACAACAAGGCCCACGUACUACAUGUAUAAUCUCAGCAAACGGUGCGCUGUGCACAGCAACACUCCGUCAACCAGCAACCUCUGGUGGCAUAGUGACAUAUGAGGGCCACUUUGAUAUUCUCUCUCUGUCGGGCUCAUUUCUGCUGGCAGAGGAUGGUGACACUCGUAGCAGGACAGGUGGUCUGAGUGUUGCUCUGGCUGGAAGCGAUGGGCGUAUCGUAGGAGGUUGUGUUGCAGGAAUGCUUAUGGCUGCAACGCCUGUCCAGGUUGUGGUGGGCAGCUUCAUCGCCGAAGGUAACAAAAAGCCCAAGGAAGAACAACCGAAACGCGAGCCAACAUCUGCGCCGAUGCUUACAUCUGCGCCGAUGCAGACGCCUGCUGGCUUCGGUGCAGCCUCAGCUGCUGCUACGCCAUCAGAUGGAACAUCAAGUGACCAUUCUGAUGACCCAGGGAGCCCUAUGGGACCCAACGGUAGCACGUUCAACAAUGCAGGCCAUCCGACACACGCUUCAUAUGCUCCGGUGGGCUGGUCCCUCUCCGGGAACCAAGGCCGCUACGACCCAGACAUGAAGAUGGUGACCGACUAA
rnacentral:rRNA from 1 species